AACGAACGCUGGCGGCAUGCCUAACACAUGCAAGUCUAACGAAAUCCUUCGGGGCUUAGUGCCACCCGGGGGCGAAAGGCGAGGGAAUCUGCCCGUGGGUUCCCAAUAACCAUGAAAAAUGACUGCUAAUACCUGAUGAUGACUAAAGUCCAAAGAUUGACCCCCCUCGGAUGAGCCCACGUAAGAUGAGGUAGGUGGUGGGGUAAACCUAUUCGCUUGUUACGAUCCUUAGCUGGUCUGAGAGGAUGAUCAGGUAGACUGGCACUGAGACACGACCCACACUCCUACGGGAGGAUACAGUGGGGAAUAUUACGACAAGGGGGGAAACCCUGAUCCAGCACUGCCGGUGACCGAUGAAGGCCUUAUGGUUGUAACGCUCUUUUACCAUGGAUGAUAAUGACAGUACCUGCAGAAUAAGCUCCGGCUAACUCCCCUGCAGCAGACGCGAUAAUACGGAGGGAGCUAGCGUUGUUGGGAAUAACUGUGCGUAGAGCGCACUCAGGAGGUAA
rnacentral:rRNA from 1 species